AUUGAACGCUGGCGGCAUGCCUUACACAUGCAAGUCGAACGGCAGCGCGGGGGCAACCUGGCGGCGAGUGGCGAACGGGUGAGUAAUAUAUCGGAACGUACCCUGGAGGUGGGGGAUAACGUAGACGAAAGUUACGCUAAUACCGCAUACGAUCUAAGGAUAGAAAGGUGGGGGAGUGCGCAAGCACCUCAUGCUCCUGGAGCGGCCGAUAUCUGAUUAGCUUAGGUUGGGAGGGGUAAACGGCCUACCAAGGCAUCGAUCAGUAGCUGGUCUGAGGAGGACGACCAGCCACACUGGAACUGAGACACGGUCCAGACUCCGUACGGGA
rnacentral:rRNA from 1 species